AGCUUCUUGAGAGUCAUUCAACAACAAUGGCUCCAACAGUAUGUAUAUGCUAACAAAUUCGAAACACAAAGCCCAAAUAUUGAAAUUGAAACUUAAAUUCAUAAUCACAAUAACUAAUAUAACAUCUUACCAAGAAUUUACACUUCUUGUUCCAGAUUAAGUCUAAUUCUCCCUCACUCAAGAUCUCCUCCCCUUUUUCUCUGGUUUUUCCUUCCUUCUCUCUUCUUUCUUUCUCUCGGUCUUCUCUCCUUUCCCUUUCCUCUUUCUUUUUUUUUUUUUUU
rnacentral:lncRNA from 1 species